UGUUUAAAGUGGCCAUGCCACUCUAAUUACAUAGCCAUGUCCACCUUUUUUUCAUAAUCCUUGGUGUUCUCUGACCUGGUAUGCAACAUUAUUUUAGCUGGAAAGUUAUUUGAUGGUGUAUUUCAAAGCAUUUUAUUGCGCCCAAAAACACCUCUCAGGAGAACUAAGCGGUUUGUCCAUAAUGUUUAUGAGCUUUGCACUGAUUGGCUCAGCUGUUGCUAGAGAACCACGUCAUUGUAGAGAACAUGUUCUACUGAGGACUCGCAGGCUGCUCUCAGCCUUUGAGAUAAAAGAAAAGAAAAAUAAGCGUUGCCGAAUAGGCUAAAUGUUAAAAUGAUUGUGCUGAGUACUCCACACUGGCGCAGAUUUAAUAAUGUACAAAACCUUAUUGCAUUCUGCGCCACUAGAUGGCAUAUUUGGGGCAUACAGAUCCUGGGAGGAGGAGAAGAAGAAGUGUAUGUUGUUGCUGCUAGCCACGUACUCACUCUGCCUUCGGUGGAUUGUUUUAUUCCGUGUCAAUUUAAAACUACUUCAGUAAAUGUAUUAACUUUACACCGAGCCUCUUCAUUGCCUACUACAAAGCAACUUUAUGCACCAGUUCGUCACUGAUGGCUCAUCAACGCGGCGGCAUCCUCGUCAUGGGACAGGUUCAUCAGAGUCAGGUGGUCAGCACCCAAACUAAAACCAUGGGUCAUGGUGAAGAAGUAUGAGAGACUGUUCUAUGUGCCCAGGAUUCGUCAGGAUGGUGUCCAAGAAUUACAUCCUAGCAGCACAGAACAGGACGCCAUCAUGAAGAAGUUGCCUGUGGGGCUUCACUUGGGCUUUGCCAGCGCCUCACUAUCAGUGAUGCUGGUCUCCUUAUCCACCGUGCCUACCCCCACGUUCCUCCCUUGAUGCAUUCAUCUCCUGACCUGUACCUGUUGUGGUAGUAGUCAGUGAUGACACACAGUAGUUGUGAUAAUAACAUACAUGUAUAUGAAAUAACUGAAAUGAUGUCCGUCCAGGCAUUUCCUUUGGUAUUUUAUUAU